rnacentral:rRNA from 1 species
CCAACCUCCGUCGUGUCGUCGCCGGUAAUAGGUGGGGUGCUGGAGUGUCGGGUAAUUAGUGUGCGUAAAGAGGUCCUAGGCUGCGUGACGCGUCGGCUGUGAAAACCUGGGGGUCAACCCCGGGCUGGCAGCGGAUACGGGAAAGCUAGAAUUCGGUAGGGGAGGCUGGAAUUCCUGGUGUAGCGGUGAAAUGCGCAGAUAUCAGGAGGAACACCGGUGGCGAAGGCGGGUCUCUGGGCCGAUAUUGACGCUGAGGAGCGAAAGCGUGGGGAGCGAACAGGAUUAGAUACCCGAGUAGUC